rnacentral:lncRNA from 1 species
UUUUUUAAAUAUAAAUUUAUUUAUUUUAAUUGGAGGUUAAUUACUUUACCUAAUAAAAAAAAGAUCCAAAGAAAGUAUGUAUACCCUAACUUAUCUCAUGCUAGGGAAAGAGGUUUAAUAAGAAUAUAUCAGACUAGUGAAGUUUGUUUGAAUUAGCCCUUAUUAUUUGCAGCUUACAUUGACCUCUCCAGGAAUGGGCUAUCAUGUGUCUUAUCUUUUUCUAAGCUAGUAUCUCCAUUUAGUAUGGGCAGAGUUGAUAUGUGGGUCUUGUAGCAGCAUGGACUCUUGGUGUUCAGGGACUUAUAGUAAUCCCUUGCAGUUUCUGAAAUCAAUCUUUCUUUGAAAUGGGCCACUCAAUUUGUAACUUCUUUCUCCUACAUUUAGAGUUAUGAAUUUGCAUGAAAGAAAUGGAAGUCAGAGCACAUUUUUUGAAUAGACUAUAUAAAAAGAGCUUUCCAAGAAGAUUGGUGCUUUUGCCAACAUAAUCUAGGUUUNNNNNNNNNNNNNNNNNNNUCUUGCACUUUUCUCUUGCGUUGGAAUGUACGAACUGGGAAUUAUACCCUACAUUCAUGUGUGGUACGGCCAAUGACCAUUCACAUCAAAGGACCCAACUCCUCUUGCUUAAGGUUUCAUUCUCUCUGGACUGGUAGAAUGUUGGCAAACUCCACAUUAUGCCUUUCCCUUGCUUCUGUUCCUCUUCUCUACCAACCAGCAUGCCUUCCUCUGUUCUCUCCCUGCCUAAACCUAUACUUCAUGGCUCCCUCUAGUACCACCAUCUCCCUGAAGCCUUUUCUAAGUACUUCUUCUCAAACCAAACAUCCUGUCCUUGAAAUUCAGAUAGUACUCUCGAGUCGUUACCGUAAUGUUUUACACUUAGUUAUCAUAUAACUUGGGCUUCCCUGAUGUCUCAGAUAGUAAUGAAUCUGCCCACACUGCAGGAGAACGGGGUUCAGUCCAUGGGUUGGGAAGAUCCCCUGGAGAAUGGAAUGGGAACCCACUCCAGUAUUCUUGCCUGGAGCAUUCCAUGGACAGGGGAGCCUGGCGGGCUACAGUCCAUGGGGUUGCUAGGAGUUGGACACGAUUGAGCAACUAUCACACACAUCCUUUAACUUGUGGCUUCCCUGGUGGCUCNNNNNNNNNNNNCUGCCUGCAGUGCAGGAGACCUGGGUUCGAUCCCUGUGUUGGGAAGAUCCUCUGAAGAAGGAAAUGGCAAUCCACUCCAGUAUUCUUUCCUGGAAAAUCCCAAUAACAGAGGAGACUGGUGGCCUAUAAUCCUUGGGGCCUCAAAAGAGUUGGACAUGACUAAGUAACUAAACAACAACAAUCCUGUACCUUAAGUUGUCCUUUUUUAUUGAUUUAGGUCUCUUUAGCCACUUCAUGCCUAUAGUGUACAUACUUACUUAUUUGUUUUUAAUCCAGCAGAGCACU